GUAAAAGAGAGCAAGGAGGAUCUCCUGGCACAUUUGGCCCGGCGUGGAAGUGGCACACAUACAUUCCACCCUUGUUUUAUUGGCCAGAACCCAGUCCCAUGACCCCAACCUUACCUGGAGGGGGGUUGGGAAACGGGAUGUUCCUGUAUGCCCCAGAAGAGGAAUUGGGAUCGGUAAGCAUCUGGCCAGCUCUGCCACGGAUGGUGAUGGAUUCAAAGUUACAUCAGAGUUCAUAAUGUCACUCCGAAGGCACCUGCUGAGGAAUCUUGAAGGUGAAGGAUUUUUCUGAAGUCUCAAAGAAGCAAACAUUUUGAUGACUGAGGAAGAUUCACCCAGAGCUGACAUCUGUUGCCGAUCUUCUUCUUUUUGCUUGAGGAAGAUUCGUGCUGAGCUAACGUCUGUGGCGAUCUUCCUUUAUUUUGUAUGUGGGUCACUGCCACAGCAUGACCGCUGAUGAGUGGUGUGGAUGUCCAGUUGUUCCGGCGUCAUUCAUUGAGAAGACUAUGUUUGCUCCAUUGGAUUACCUUUGCUCCUUUGUCAAAGAUCAAUUGACUAUGUUUAUGUGGGCAUAUUUCUGGGUUAAUUUUGUAUUUUUUUCAUAAUAGUUAAUGAGUGCCUGCUUUAAACCAGGCACUGUCGUAAAUGCUGGAAAUAUAGGGGACAAGAAAAGAGAUGUCAUCCUUGCUCUUACGGAUUGUACAGUUAAUGGAUGGGAAAGGAUCAAAGAUAACUCCAGGUUUCUAGUUCACUCCAGAUUUCUGAUUUAGAUUAUGGGACAGGAAACCUAGAAGAAGCAGUAAGUUGAUGUGGAAAGAUGCUCCGUCUUGGGAAGUGUUGAGUUGGGCAUGUCUAUGGGAUAUCAUAAAAGAUGGCCAACAGGUACUUGGGUAUACAGAUGUGGAGCUAGAAGAGAAAAAUCUGACAUUGAGAUACAGAUUUUGGCACCAUCUGCAUGGAUAUGGUGGUAAAAACCGUGACUGUGUGUGAUUGCUAAAGGAAUGUGUACUGGAGUGGGAGAAGAGAAGAUGUUGCACAGCGGAACUCUGGGGAACUCCAGCAUUUGGAGGAAGAAGAAUGAAAAGUACUGCAUGGAAAUUUCAAAGGAGUGCAGAGAGGUAGAGGAGAACCAUGAGAGAGUUAUGUUGUGGAAGCCAAGUGUUAUGGACUGAAUUGUGUCUCCCCCAAACUCAUAUGUUGAGGCCCUAACCCCUAAUGUGACUGUAUUUAGAGAUAGAGACUUUAAGCAGAUAAUUAGGAUAAAUGAGGUCAUAAGUGUAGGACCCUACUCCAGUAGGACUGACAUCCUCAUAAGAAGAGGAAGAAAUACCAGGGGUCAAUCUCUCUCUCUCUACAUGCACAG
rnacentral:lncRNA from 1 species